CGUAGAAGAAAGAGCGCGCGGGUUUUGCAGUUUUAGUGCUUAUAUACUAAACAAAGAGUCAUGGUAGCCUGGGCGCGAUCAAUCUUACUCGCCAAAAGGUCUGACAGCCUCGUACCCCCACAACACAUUUAAACCUUCUAACUGUGCCUGAGAUCAAACCUAGCCAGGAGAGAGAAAAAGAGAGAGACAGAAAGAAACUACCUUUACAAAACGCUUGCGUUCGGUUUAUUACUUAUUUUUUACGUGCUUUAGGAUCAAGCAAAAUCAGGCCUUUUACUGUUCUGCUUGAGGGUUUAGGAAGCUGUCAGAGUAUAAUGGAUGGGAUUGCUCUGAAGAGUGGGGCCUCUACAGCUUGAGCUGCACACCCACAGCAAGAAGCACGAGACAACGCAAAAACCCCAGGAGCUACCCUAGCAAAAGUGUUGUUAAAAAUGUUUUUAAGAAGUCUCUUUUUAAAGGAGCAGCAUGGAAUGUAUGACAUUGAAAAAACAAAUAAAAAUAAAAAACUCCAGA